rnacentral:rRNA from 1 species
AGUGAACGCUGGCGGUAGGCCUAACACAUGCAAGUCGAACGGCAGCACAGUAAUAGCUUGCUCUUACGGGUGGCGAGUGGCGGACGGGUGAGGAAUACAUCGGAAUCUACUUUUUCGUGGGGGAUAACGUAGGGAAACUUACGCUAAUACCGCAUACGACCUACGGGUGAAAGCAGGGGAUCUUCGGACCUUGCGCGAUUGAAUGCGCCGAUGUCGGAUUAGCUAGUGGGCGGGGUAAAGGCCCACCAAGGCGACGAGCCGUAGCUGGUGUGAGAGGAGGGUCAGCCACAUGGGAAGUAAGACACGGUCCAGACUCCUACGGGAGGCAGCAGUGGGGAAUAUUGGACAAUGGGCGCAAGCCUGAUCCAGCCAUACCGCGGGGGUGAAGAAGGCCUUCGGGUUGUAAAGCCCUUUUGUUGGGAAAGAAAAGCAGCAGGUUAAUACCCCGCUGUUCUGACGGUAGCCAAAGAAUAAGCACCGGCUAACUUCGUG